rnacentral:rRNA from 1 species
UGCAUUUCAUCGUGCAUCACCGGAUCCCAUCAGAACUCCGCAGUUAAACGUGCUUGGGCGAGAGUAGUACUAGGAUGGGUGACCUCCUGGGAAGUCCUCGUGUUGCAC